GGAACGUGUUCCUUUUUGUAUGUACCAUAUGAAUAAGCAUCGGCUAACUCCGUGCCAGCAGCCGCGGUAAUACGGAGGAUGCGAGCGUUAUCCGGAUUUAUUGGGUUUAAAGGGUGCGUAGGUGGUUAAUUAAGUCAGCGGUGAAAGUUUGUGGCUCAACCAUAAAAUUGCCGUUGAAACUGGUUGACUUGAGUAUAUUUGAGGUAGGCGGAAUGCGUGGUGUAGCGGUGAAAUGCAUAGAUAUCACGCAGAACUCCGAUUGCGAAGGCAGCUUACUAAACUAUAACUGACACUGAAGCACGAAAGCGUGGGGAUCAAACAGGAUUAGAUACCCUGGUAGUCCACGCAGUAAACGA
rnacentral:rRNA from 1 species